rnacentral:rRNA from 1 species
UACGUAGGGCGCAAGCGUUGUCCGGAAUUAUUGGGCGUAAAGAGCUCGUAGGCGGCUUGUCACGUCGGAUGUGAAAGCCCGAGGCUUAACCUCGGGUCUGCAUUCGAUACGGGCUAGCUAGAGUGUGGUAGGGGAGAUCGGAAUUCCUGGUGUAGCGGUGAAAUGCGCAGAUAUCAGGAGGAACACCGAUGGCGAAGGCAGGUCUCUGGGCCGAUACUGACGCUCAUGCACGAAAGCGUGGGGAGCAAACAGG